CACACACAGAGGCAGGCAGGCAAGCGGGGUAUAUAAGGGAGGCGGUGAGGCGGAAUCAAGCACAGUUCUCCUUCAUCUGUCUUCACGUGACCAACGAUGUUUGCUGUGGUGGUAAUGGUGUGUGUCCUGCUGGUGGGGGGCGUCUCUGCUGACAGCCACCUUGAGAAGGUCCCUAACUACGAUUUCGACUACGCUGUGCAGGACGCAGAGAGUGGUUCAAAUUUCGGCCACCAGGAGACCCGCAGGGACGGCCAGACAUCAGGGAGCUACCGCGUGGUCCUGCCUGACGGACGCCUGCAGGUGGUGACGUACACAGCAAGUCCCGCGGGUUUUGUAGCGGAGGUGACAUACGAGGGUGAGGCUGUGUUCCCUCCGCCACCUCCCUUCGAUCCAUAUUAUCACCACCACGGACACGCUCCCUUCCACCCAGCUCCUCCUCCUCCUCCUCAUUUCGUUCACGACCAGCACCAUUUCCAUCAUGGCUCUCUCGUGUACUAAAAUGAUUCUGUCGGUUCUGUACUAGGUUUGUCUGUCCGGUUCUUAUCCAUUGCUACUGUUUCGGCUCAUUCGUGUUUCCUGAAUAAAUUAAUCGAUCAG